GUGGGUCAUUGUCACAAGGAAAGUCACCGUAUGAGCCUUCGGAAAUUGCCAAAUUUCUUAAAUAAAACACGAAUUUCCUGAAAAAUUCGUGAAUAUUUUCCUCCACAUCCGUUUGAAUCAUUUUGAUCAUAAUUUACUUUAAAGUGUGUGAAAAUUUCAAGGAGAUAUAUUCACAACUUUCGUCAAAAAUUGUUAUUUUACCGGGUGAAAUUAGGCAACGCUGGAGUGAUUAUACGACGUUCUUCCUGAGCGCGAUAGGUCGGCUGCCGGAUUUCAGUUGGGUUCUGCACGAUUUGGCGACAGGGCCGCGUUUGGAACCAACUUGGCGGACUUCCCUCAUAUUUGCACCACGGAAGAAUAUUCGCGUAUAAAAGCGUUUGUGGCUUACCUAAUCGAUACAGUUUAUUCAUAUCGUUUACUCGACAGUGAUCUUCUUCUAAUUUUUCGCAUCUUCACGCUACGAUGGAUUUCACACUCUUGAGAUCUCUGCUCCUGAUGUUGGUCGCUCUGAUCGCGUUGGCUGUCGCUGCUCCGGAACCAGGCUACGGAGGCGGAGGAGGUCACCACCACGGAGGAGGCGGAGGUCACCAUCACGGUGGAGGAGGAGGAGGUCACCAUCACGGUGGAGGAGGAAGCCACCAUCACGGUGGAGGUGGAGGUCACGGAGGUCACUACGGGGGUGGCGGCGGAGGUCACCACCAUGGGGGUCAUCACCACGGUUGAAAAAUCCCUUGAAAUUCCUACAUGGGCCUCGCCUCGCAUUGUUGAACAAAAGUUACCACUAAUUUAUUGUUAAUUUAUUUGUUUAAGUAAAUAGGCUAUUUAUUUAUCUCUGGAUAAAAAGCGACGAACAAAGCAAAAAAACUAGAGCUGAUCCCCUUCAUGAUUUUGUUGUAUUGUUCCUUCAACAAAGGGUCAUAUGCUUAAAAAUUGAUCUAUCGUAAUGUGAUGAUUGACGAAAUUUACCCGAAAUGGAUACGUUUUCGAUCUCGAGGAGCUUCAAAAGCUCUAUCAAUUAUUCAAUAAAAAUUUCCUUCGUUUCUUUUUGUAGAUAUGCCUUUGUAAAAUUUGUAAAAAAUAUUAAAAAAAAACCUUGUAAAAUACUCACGAUGUGUAAAUAAAAAAUUCAAAAUUGAACAAAAAAAUAUUGUGACCUCUUCCAUCAUGCAUUCCUGAGUCAAUAAGUGAAGUCAUUUCUUUCUAGCGGAUGUUUACGUCGGGAAAAACACGGAAAAAAAAUCGCUGAUUCAACAAUUCAAUUGCUAAAAACAGUGAGUGCAAUGUUUCAACGCAGAUUUUACAAAAAAAAAAUGCUACUUUAACCACCCCCGUGGUUAAAUUAGUUUACAAUGUGGUUGAAGUAGCAUUUUUUUGUUGUAAAAUCUGCGUUGAAACAUUGCACUCACUGUUUUUGGUAAUUGAAUUGUUGAAUCAGCAAUUUUUUUCCGUGAAGUUAUCACCAAGUCAUAACUUGCGUGUUGUGGCCAAUAAUAUUUUAUUUUCGGUAUUUUAUGUCCAAACUGCUGAUGCGGAAAAACGUAACUUCUGCAUUCCCAGUGUUAUGCCGACUUAAUGAAAUUAAAUCAAUUUUUAAGAUCCCGAAAGCUCAAGUCAAGAGUGCCUGCAUUCACUGCGACAUUUCAAAAUUGUAGAACGUAAUUGCCUUUUAAAAUAAUGUAAAAGUAUAAGAACAUUUACUUGAAAAUGAAAAAAUGUUGAAUAGUUUUCUUCAUAAAAAAAAACAAAAACAACAUAAAAUACUCGCAACGUUGCAAUCUAAAACAAGCAUGUUUUUCGCUGAGAGCCUCGAUAAUCUGUUAUACAGUAAAAAAAACCUCAGAUAAUAUAAAGAAAGAAAAAAAAAUCAAAAUAUCUCUUGAUACUAUGUUUAUUCACUGACUUCCAUUUCAGUUGUGAUUUUAUUAUCAGCUGUGAUUUACCUUGUGAAAACGAUUCUUGGGAAAUUUUAAGUAAAGUUACUAGAGGUAAAGUUUAGUAUUGUCUCGAAUGAUAAUUUACGAGGAGCUUGUACUUAGAUCAUUAUUGCGCCGAUAUUUAUGGGCGUAAAGUAGCAUCAUCCUCCAGCAGCAUUCUUAAUUUGAAUUUACUUGUGAAUUUCAUGAAUGGCACCACUUGGAGGGAAACAGUGCAGGCAAUGCCUGAAAUUUUGGUAUUUCCUCGUUAAAAGUAAGUCGCCAGCUUCUAGGAUUAAACCUAGAUCACAUGGACCGCAUUUUGCAAUAAGGAAGCACUAUUUCCGGCUCUUUUUAGAAACAACAUAUUUGCCAUUGGUUUCCCCUUGCAGAUACGUGCUUUUAUGGGAGAGCUCUACCAGGGGUUCGAUAUUACAUCAAAAGUGACGUAACCACUGAAUCAGUCUAUAAAUCGACCAAAUCCACUAGCGAAGAUUCGCCUACAGGGGUGGGUGAGAGUGAGAGAAACGAUUAUUUUUGUUUGGAGCCCAAUGUCAUAGAGAGCAAAAGUAGCAUGACGUAAGCAUGAUUAUAAGAUCAAUUCAAUUCAUUGAUCAGCGCAUGAGUGUGCGUGCAAUUGCACGCACACUGCUUCACGUUUACGCUAUCAGACCGCUCCCUGGACCGUGUCACACACGGUCAACAGCCGCAGGAGAACUGCCGUGCUAAGGAAGAGCGCCGUAUCAACAUUCGAGGGUUGCCAAAUUUCCUACGAUAAAAAUAACAUUUUUGAGGAUAUUUAGGAAUAUUUUCUCCUGGAAUUUGCAGAAGAUUUAGAUCUGGCUGCGAAUUGAACUAUCUGUAAAAUUGGAGGGAGAACAUUCACAAAUUUUCUGUAAAUUCGUAUUUUAUCGAAGGCAAUUUGGCAACGUUUGAAGGUUCAUAAGGCGUUUUUCCUUAACAUGGCAGAGAAUUAGACAGGUUUUUUUUUUUUUUGGCGACAUCCUCCAUUACUUACGAUCGAAGACCGGCCGGUGGACGUUCUGCGACGGAAUUUUCCUGGCGCCUCCUGCUGUGUAACCAGUGGCGCGGCGCAAGUGAUCGACUAUCGAUAUUCUCCCAUUUGAAGCUGGGGUAAAGAAUCGAUUAAGUUGCUCCUUGCGAGCACCCUGAAUAUCGAUCCUUUUCCGUGGGUUUAAAUGGCAGAUAAAUCGAUGUAUCGCAAAGCACGCCACGCCACUGUGUGUAACGCAAUGCAGCGCGCUCGGAAUUAAG
rnacentral:lncRNA from 1 species